rnacentral:rRNA from 1 species
AGAGUUUGAUCCUGGCUCAGGAUGAACGCUAGCGGCGUGCCUAACACAUGCAAGUCGCACGCAGUUAAGGGGGCAACUCCUUGAUUGAGUGGCGCACGGGUGAGUAACACGUAGGUAACCUGCCCUUCACUGGGGAAUAACCUGUCGAAAGACGGGCUAAUUCCGCAUACGUCCAAGACUGCUCCGGCAGAUUUGGGGAAAGGCGGCCCGCAAGGGCUAUCGGUGAUGGAUGGGCCUGCGUACCAUUAGCUAGUUGGUAGGGUAAUGGCCGUACCAAGGCUACGAUGGUUAGCUGGUCUGAGAGGAUGAUCAGCCACACUGGAACUGACACACGGUCCAGACUCCUACGGGAGGCAGCAGUGGGGAAUUUUGCGCAAUGGGGGAAACCCUGACGCAGCAACGCCGCGUGAGUGAUGAAGGCCCUUGGGUCGUAAAGCUCUGUCAGAGGGGAAAGAAGUGUAUUGUGGCUAAUAUCCACGAUACUUGACGGUACCCCUAAAGGAAGCACCGGCUAACUCCGU